rnacentral:misc_RNA from 1 species
UCCCCGUUUAGACGAGGCAGUCUGUCCAGAGUGCUUCCCGCUCUCGCGGGAGUGGCAACAGGACACAAGGGUUGCGCUCGUUGCGGGACUUAACCCAACAUCUCACGACACGAGCUGACGACAGCCAUGCAGCACCUGUGCAAGCUCCCCUUGCGGGGUCGUCACCCUUUCAGGUUUCUACCACUUGCAUGUCAAGGCCAGGUAAGGUUCUUCGCGUUGCAUCGAAUUAAGCCACAUACUCCACCGCUUGUGCAGGCCCCCGUCAAUUCCUUUGAGUUUUACCGUUGCCGGCGUACUCCCCAGGCGGAGAACUUAACGCGUUAGCUGCGACACCGAGAGGCAAACCCUCCCAACAUCUAGUUCUCAUCGUUUACGGUGUGGACUAC